GGGUUGUGAGGUUAAGCGACUAAGCGUACACGGUGGAUGCCCUGGCAGUCAGAGGCGAUGAAGGGCGUGCUAAUCUGCGAUAAGCGCCGGUAAGGUGAUAUGAACCGUUAUAACCGGCGAUUUCCGAAUGGGGAAACCCAGUGUGAUUCGUCACACUAUCAUUAACUGAAUCCAUAGGUUAAUGAGGCGAACCGGGGGAACUGAAACAUCUAAGUACCCCGAGGAAAAGAAAUCAACCGAGAUUCCCCCAGUAGCGGCGAGCGAACGGGGAGGAGCCCAGAGCCUGAAUCAGCAUGUGUGUUAGUGGAAGCGUCUGGAAAGGCGCGCGAUACAGGGUGACAGCCCCGUACACAAAAGCGCAUGUGCUGUGAGCUCGAUGAGUAGGGCGGGACACGUGGUAUCCUGUCUGAAUAUGGGGGGACCAUCCUCCAAGGCUAAAUACUCCUGACUGACCGAUAGUGAACCAGUACCGUGAGGGAAAGGCGAAAAGAACCCCGGCGAGGGGAGUGAAAAAGAACCUGAAACCGUGUACGUACAAGCAGUGGGAGCCCCACCACCAAAGCAUUCUCUGGUGUUGAAGGCCCUGCAAAGCAGCAUCGCGGUGGCGGAGCGUCGUUUGCGACGCCCAACACACAAAACAAGCGGUGAGUGCUUUGGGGUGGGGUGACUGCGUACCUUUUGUAUAAUGGGUCAGCGACUUAUAUUCUGUAGCAAGGUUAACCGUAUAGGGGAGCCGUAGGGAAACCGAGUCUUAACCGGGCGUUAAGUUGCAGGGUAUAGACCCGAAACCCGGUGAUCUAGCCAUGGGCAGGUUGAAGGUUGGGUAACACUAACUGGAGGACCGAACCGACUAAUGUUGAAAAAUUAGCGGAUGACCUGUGGCUGGGGGUGAAAGGCCAAUCAAACCGGGAGAUAGCUGGUUCUCCCCGAAAGCUAUUUAGGUAGCGCCUCGUGAAUUCAUCUCCGGGGGUAGAGCACUGUUUCGGCUAGGGGGCCAUCCCGGCUUACCAACCCGAUGCAAACUGCGAAUACCGGAGAAUGUUAUCACGGGAGACACACGGCGGGUGCUAACGUCCGUCGUGAAGAGGGAAACAACCCAGACCGCCAGCUAAGGUCCCAAAGUCAUGGUUAAGUGGGAAACGAUGUGGGAAGGCCCAGACAGCCAGGAUGUUGGCUUAGAAGCAGCCAUCAUUUAAAGAAAGCGUAAUAGCUCACUGGUCGAGUCGGCCUGCGCGGAAGAUGUAACGGGGCUAAACCAUGCACCGAAGCUGCGGCAGCGACGCUGAUGCGUUGUUGGGUAGGGGAGCGUUCUGUAAGCCUGUGAAGGUGGCCUGUGAGGGUUGCUGGAGGUAUCAGAAGUGCGAAUGCUGACAUAAGUAACGAUAAAGCGGGUGAAAAGCCCGCUCGCCGGAAGACCAAGGGUUCCUGUCCAACGUUAAUCGGGGCAGGGUGAGUCGACCCCUAAGGCGAGGCCGAAAGGCGUAGUCGAUGGGAAACGGGUUAAUAUUCCCGUACUUGGUGUUACUGCGAAGGGGGGACGGAGAAGGCUAUGUUGGCCGGGCGACGGUUGUCCCGGUUUAAGCGUGUAGGUGUGUGUUCCAGGUAAAUCCGGUUCACUUUAACACUGAGGCGUGAUGACGAGGCACUACGGUGCUGAAGCAACAAAUGCCCUGCUUCCAGGAAAAGCCUCUAAGCAUCAGGUAACAUCAAAUCGUACCCCAAACCGACACAGGUGGUCAGGUAGAGAAUACCAAGGCGCUUGAGAGAACUCGGGUGAAGGAACUAGGCAAAAUGGUGCCGUAACUUCGGGAGAAGGCACGCUGACACGUAGGUGAAGUGAUUUACUCAUGGAGCUGAAGUCAGUCGAAGAUACCAGCUGGCUGCAACUGUUUAUUAAAAACACAGCACUGUGCAAACACGAAAGUGGACGUAUACGGUGUGACGCCUGCCCGGUGCCGGAAGGUUAAUUGAUGGGGUCAGCGCAAGCGAAGCUCCUGAUCGAAGCCCCGGUAAACGGCGGCCGUAACUAUAACGGUCCUAAGGUAGCGAAAUUCCUUGUCGGGUAAGUUCCGACCUGCACGAAUGGCGUAAUGAUGGCCAGGCUGUCUCCACCCGAGACUCAGUGAAAUUGAACUCGCUGUGAAGAUGCAGUGUACCCGCGGCAAGACGGAAAGACCCCGUGAACCUUUACUAUAGCUUGACACUGAACAUUGAGCCUUGAUGUGUAGGAUAGGUGGGAGGCUUUGAAGCGUGGACGCCAGUCUGCAUGGAGCCGGCCUUGAAAUACCACCCUUUAAUGUUUGAUGUUCUAACGUGGACCCGUGAUCCGGGUUGCGGACAGUGUCUGGUGGGUAGUUUGACUGGGGCGGUCUCCUCCUAAAGAGUAACGGAGGAGCACGAAGGUUGGCUAAUCCUGGUCGGACAUCAGGAGGUUAGUGCAAUGGCAUAAGCCAGCUUGACUGCGAGCGUGACGGCGCGAGCAGGUGCGAAAGCAGGUCAUAGUGAUCCGGUGGUUCUGAAUGGAAGGGCCAUCGCUCAACGGAUAAAAGGUACUCCGGGGAUAACAGGCUGAUACCGCCCAAGAGUUCAUAUCGACGGCGGUGUUUGGCACCUCGAUGUCGGCUCAUCACAUCCUGGGGCUGAAGUAGGUCCCAAGGGUAUGGCUGUUCGCCAUUUAAAGUGGUACGCGAGCUGGGUUUAGAACGUCGUGAGACAGUUCGGUCCCUAUCUGCCGUGGGCGCUGGAGAACUGAGGGGGGCUGCUCCUAGUACGAGAGGACCGGAGUGGACGCAUCACUGGUGUUCGGGUUGUCAUGCCAAUGGCACUGCCCGGUAGCUAAAUGCGGAAGAGAUAAGUGCUGAAAGCAUCUAAGCACGAAACUUGCCCCGAGAUGAGUUCUCCCUGAGACUUAGAGUCUCCUGAAGGAACGUUGAAGACGACGACGUUGAUAGGCCGGGUGUGUAAGCGCAGCGAUGCGUUGAGCUAACCGGUACUAAUGAACCGUGAGGCUUAACCUUACAACGCCGAAG
rnacentral:rRNA from 1 species